CCUACGGGAGGCAGCAGUGAGGAAUAUUGGUCAAUGGCCGCAGGGCUGAACCAGCCAAGUCGCGUGAGGGAAGACGGUCCUAUGGAUUGUAAAUCUCUUUUGUCAGGGAGCAAAGGGCGCCACGUGUGGCGUUUUGCGAGUACCUGAAGAAAAAGCAUCGGCUAACUCCGUGCCAGCAGCCGCGGUAAUACGGAGGAUGCGAGCGUUAUCCGGAUUGAUUGGGUUAAAAGGGUGCGCGGGCGGAAUGUCAAGUCAGCGGUAAAAUUUCGGGGCUCAACCCCGUCGUGCCGUUGAAACUGGCGGUCUUGAGUGAGCGAGAGGUGUGCAGAAUGCGAGGUGUAGCGGUGAAAUGCGUAGAGAUCACGCAGAACUCCGAUUGCGAAGGCAGCAUACCGGCGCUCAACUGACGCUCAUGCACGAAAGCGUGGGUAUCGAACAGGAUUAGAUACCCCUGUAGUC
rnacentral:rRNA from 1 species